rnacentral:snRNA from 1 species
AUACUCACCUGGCAGGAGAGAUACUACGAUCACCAAGGUGGUUUUCCUGGGCCAGGUUCAUCCAUUGCACUCGGGAUGGGCUGACCCUGGUGAUUUCCCCAAACAUGUUGACCUAGGAACUGAAUUCCUC